rfam:Rattus norvegicus chromosome 1, whole genome shotgun sequence.
UAGCUCAGUGGUAGAGCACUUGCCUAGCAAGCGCAAGGCCCUGGGUUCGAUCCCCAG